rnacentral:rRNA from 1 species
GACAGAGGCCUCGAGCGUUAGGCGGAAUCACUGGGCUUAAAGCGUGUGUAGGCGGGCCCGUAAGUGUCUUGUGAAAUCCCACGGCUCAACCGUGGAACUGCUGGGCAUACUGCGGGUCUUGGGCCAACUAGGGGCAGCCGGAACAAGCGGUGGAGCGGUGAAAUGCGUAGAUAUCGUGAGGAAGACCAGUGGCGAAGGCGGGUCUCUGGACAGUUCCUGACGCUGAGGCGCGAAGGCCAGGGGAGCAAACGGG